rnacentral:rRNA from 1 species
UGGCGGACGGGUGAGUAACACGUGGGAACGUGCCUUUAGGUUCGGAAUAACUCAGGGAAACUUGUGCUAAUACCAAAUGUGCCCUUUGGGGGAAAGAUUUAUCGCCUUUAGAGCGGCCCGCGUCUGAUUAGCUAGUUGGUGAGGUAAAGGCUCACCAAGGCGACGAUCGGUAGCUGGUCUGAGAGGAUGAUCAGCCACACUGGGACUGAGACACGGCCCAGACUCCUACGGGAGGCAGCAGUGGGGAAUAUUGGACAAUGGGGGCAACCCUGAUCCAGCAAUGCCGCGUGAGUGAUGAAGGCCUUAGGGUUGUAAAGCUCUUUCACCGAUGAAGAUAAUGACGGUAGUCGGAGAAGAAGCCCCGGCUAACUUCGUGCCAGCAGCCGCGGUAAU